GAUGAACGCUGGCGGCGUGCCUAAUACAUGCAAGUCGAGCGAACGGACGAGAAGCUUGCUUCUCUGAUGUUAGCGGCGCACGGGUGAGUAACAUGUGGAUAGCCUACCUAUAAUACUGGGAUAACUUCGGGAAACCGGAGCUAAUCCCGGAUAAUAUUUUGAACCGCAUGGUUCAAAAGUGAAAGUCGGUCUUGCUGUCACUUAUAGAUGGAUCCGCGCUGCAUUAGCUAGUUGGUAAGGUAACGGCUUACCAAGGCAACGAUGCAUAGCCGACGUGAGAGGGUGAUCGGCCGCACUGGAACUGGAACAGGGACAAGGGUACUGCGGGAGGGACCAGUAGGGAAUCUUACGCAAUGGGGGAAAGCAUGACGGAGCAAGGCCGCGCGAGUGAUGAAGGUCUUCGGAUCGUAAAACUCUGUUAUUAGGGAAAAACAUAUGUGUAAGUAACUGUGCACAUCUUGACGGUACCUAAUCAGAAAGCCACGGCUAACUACGUG
rnacentral:rRNA from 1 species